CACGUAGGGCGCGAGCGUUGUCCGGAAUUAUUGGGCGUAAAGAGCUCGUAGGCGGCCUGUUGCGUCCGCUGUGAAAGCCCGAGGCUUAACCUCGGGUCUGCAGUCGAUACGGGCUAGCUAGAGUGUGGUAGGGGAGAUCGGAAUUCCUGGUGUAGCGGUGAAAUGCGCAGAUAUCAGGAGGAACACCGGUGGCGAAGGCGGAUCUCUGGGCCAUUACUGACGCUGAGGAGCGAAAGCGUGGGGAGCGAACAGG
rnacentral:rRNA from 1 species